GAUGAACGCUAGCGGCAGGCCUAACACAUGCAAGUCGAGGGGUAGCAGGAUUAAGCUUGCUUAAUUGCUGACGACCGGCGCACGGGUGCGUAACGCGUAUGCAACCUACCUUAUACUGGGGUAUAGCCCGGAGAAAUUCGGAUUAAUCCCCCAUAGUACUAAUGAAUCGCAUGGUUUAUUAGUUAAAGCAUUGCGGUAUAAGAUGGGCAUGCGUCCUAUUAGCUAGAUGGUGAGGUAACGGCUCACCAUGGCUACGAUAGGUAGGGGGCCUGAGAGGGUGGUCCCCCACACUGGUACUGAGACACGGGCCAGACUCCUACGGGAGGCAGCAGUGAGGAAUAUUGGUCAAUGGGCGCAAGCCUGAACCAGCCAUGCCGCGUGCAGGAAGAAUGCCCUAUGGGUUGUAAACUGCUUUUAUUUGGGGAUAAACCUCUUUACGUGUAGAGAGCUGAAGGUACCAAAUGAAUAAGCACCGGCUAACUCCGUGCCAGCAGCCGCCGUAA
rnacentral:rRNA from 1 species